UGAGAACUGAAACUGACAUGGAGUCUGCUCGCCCUUUUAGAGGCCACUAUAUAUACAGUAUAUUGUUAAAUGACUGUCAUCUGGCAGGUACCGUAUGAAACAUUGGUCUGAUCCAGAUUUUAGUUUAUGACCAUUACUACCUGUGAUAGAAUGUUGCCCGUGGGCAUGUGAUAUAUAUGUGUGGAGACCAUUACUACCUAUGAUAGAAUGUUGCCUGCGGGCAUAUAAUAUAUGUGUGGAUAUAUUUACAUUUGUGAGCGGUAUGUCCUAUCGACGUUAUGCAUUGCCUGUGUUCUCGUUCAUGGAAGGUCUUCUCUGGUCUAAAGGAUAGGAAUAGGAAAGUCAUAUGAAAUGAGGUGGCAUACAUGUCAGGUCCUAUAUGAAAAGAGAUGCCAUUUGAUUCGUAGAAUGAGAUUUUUCCAUUAGGUUUGUGCUAGUGUUCUUUUUCUUUGAAAUGUGUAGGAUAUAUAGAGACCAGUCCUACAUAGGAAAUCCGGUCCUACAAACUCUAUCAAAAAAAUUCCUAUAGCAAUCCUAUCCUACAAAAUUCCUACAAAUCAAAGGAGGCCUAAGUAUACGGUACAAUUGUAUGAAGUGGUUUAGGAACGUCUGAAUCUCCUCUGAUGUAGUGUACAUGAGCAUUUACGUGAAAUUCUUGCAAAUUUUAUAUGAAAUUGUGUUUGCUAUUUACAAGUUUUUUGGGAAGACAAGAUGAUGAUGCGGAGAUGGGUGAUGCAGCCAGGCAGGGUCAUGGGGGGUUGUCUAUGACAGAGAGGAUGAUUAACGCCCUGUUCGGAUUACCUCCGCUCCACAGCUUCACUCCGGGAGCGGGUGGAGUUAUAGUGAAAAAACGUGGAGCGUCGGUUUCCUGGCUCCACAACUCCUUCUAUUUCGCGGAGCAGGUGGGAUUCCGAACCGGGCCUAACUUAGAGGGAUGGCCAGGAGCUGCGGCAGAGCAGUAGAGGUGGCGGCUUGGAGAGGGUGUGGGGCAGCAAGGAGACCGGCAAUUCGGUUGGCGUUGAAGGCAGCAGGAGGAAGAAGCUAGGAAUAAGAAAAUGAACCGGCCCUUAGAUUUUUUUCCAUGUGAAGCGCGACAACUUUUUAAUUUAUAAAAAGAGCUCCCUCUCUGAUUUCUAUUAAUAGAAAUCACAUUGUAUUACAAACUACGAGGAACUAAAGCGAAACUACCACACAUAACAACAAAAGGCAUGAUGCACAAAUCCAACCUGGUACAGAAAAUGGGUUAUCCCAUCUGCCCAUCAAGAUUACAGGAACUUGUUGGGAAAAGUAGUAAUUUCAAAAAAAAAUCCUAUGCACACGCAAGAUCAUCAUGGUGAUGCAUAGCAACGAGAGGAAAGAGUAUCGUCCACGUACCCUCAUAGAUCGUAAGAGGAAGCGUUAUGAGAACACGGUUGAUGUAGUCGAACGUCUUCACGAUCCGACCGAUCCAAGUACCGAACGCACGGCACCUCCGAGUUCAGCACACGUUCAGCUCGAUGACGUCCCACGAACUCCGAUCCAGCAGAGCUUCACGGGAGAGUUCCGUCAGCACGACGACGUGAUGACGGUGAUGAUGUUGCUACCGACGCAGAGCUUCGCCUAAACACCGCUACAAUAUGAUUGAGGUGGAUUAUGAUGGAGGGGGACACCGCACACGGCUAAGGGAUCAAUGAUCAACUUGUGUGUUCUAGGGUGCCCCCCUGCCCCCGUAUAUAAAGGAGCAAGGGGGAGGCCGACCGGCCCCUGUAGGGCGCGCCAGGAGGAGGAGUCCUCCUCCUAGUAGGAGUAGGACACCCCUUUCCUACUCCUACUAGGAGGAAAGGAAGGGGGAAGGGGAGAAGGAAGGAGAGGGAGGAAAGGAGGAAAGGGGGGUCGGCCCCCUAGUCCAAUUCGGUUUGGGCUAGGGGGGCCGCGCGCCCUGCCUCCUCUCUUACACCACUUGGCCCAUGAGGCCCAAUACUUCUUCCCCGUAUUUUCGUAACUCCCUGGUACUCCGAAAAAUAUCCGAAUCACUCGGAACCUUUCCGAUAUCCGAAUAUAGUCGUCCAAUAUAUCAAUCUUUACGUCUCGACCAUUUCGAGACUCCUCGUCAUGUCCCCUAUCUCAUCCGGGACUCCGAACUACCUUCAGUACAUCAAAUCACUUAAACUCAUAAUACCGAUCGUCACCGAACGUUAAGCGUGCGGACCCUACGGGUUCGAGAACUAUGUAGACAUGACCGAGACACGUCUCUGUUCAAUAACCAAUAGCGGAACCUGGAUGUUCAUAUUAGCUCUUACAUAUUCUACGAAGAUAUUUAUCGGUCAAACCGCAUAACAACAUACGUUGUUCCCUUUGUCAUCGAUAUGUUACUUUCCCGAGAUUCGAUUGCCGGUAUCUCAAUACCUAGUUCAAUAUCGUUACCGGCAAGUCUCUCUACUCGUUUCUGUAAUGCAUCAUCCCGCAACUAACUCAUUAGUUGCAUUGCUUGCAAGGCUUAUAGUGAUGUGCAUUGCCGAGAGGGCCCAGAGAUACCUCUCCGACAAUCGGAGUGACAAAUCCUAAUCUCGAUCUAUGCCAACUCAACAAGCACCAUCGGAGACACCUGUAGAGCACCUUUAUAAUCACCCAGUUACGUUGUGACGUUUGGUAGCACACAAAGUGUUCCUCCGGCACUCGGGAGUUGCAUAAUCUCAUAGUCAUAGGAACAUGUAUAAGUCAUGAAGAAAGCAAUAGCAACAAACUAAACGAUCAUCGUGCUAAGCUAACGGAUGGGUCAAGUCAAUGACAUCAUUCUCUAAUGAUAUGGUCCCGUUAAUCAAAUGACAACUCAUGUCUAUGGUUAGAAAACAUAACCAUCAUUGAUUCAACGAGCUAGUCAAGUAGAGGCAUACUAGUGACAUUCUGUUUGUCUAUGUAUUCACACAUGUACUAAGUUUCCGAUUAAUACAAUUCUAGCAUGAACAAUAAAUAUUUAUCAUGAAAUAAGGAAAAAAAUAAUAACUUUAUUAUUGUCUCUAGGGCAUAUUUCCUUCAGUCUCUCACUUGCACUAGAGUCAAUAAUCUAGUCCACAUCUUUAUGUGAUUAGUUCACAUCUCCAUGUGAUUAAUACCCAAAGGGUUUCCUAGAGUCAAUAAUCUAGUUCACAUCGCUAUGUGAUUAACACCCAAAGAGUGAUCAUAUUUUGCUUGUGAGAGAAGUUUAGUCUAUGGGUCUGCAACAUUCAGAUCCGUAUGUAUUUCACAAAUUUUUAUGUCUUCUCAAUGCUCUGCACGGAGCUAUUCUAGCUAAUUGCUCACACUUUCAAUAUGUAUCCAGAUCGACGUAAAAAGCUUGCAUCGACGUAACUCUUUACGACGAACUAUUUUAUCACCUCCAUAACCGAGAAAUAUUUCUUUAGUCCUCUAAGGAUAAUUUUGACCGUUGUCCAGUGAUCUACUCCUAGAUCGCUAUUGUACUCUCUUGCCAGAAAGAUGCUAAGGUAUACAAUAGGACUGGUAAACAACAUAGCAUACUUUAUAGAACCUAUGACUGAGGCAUAGGGAAUGACUUUUCAUUCUCUUUCUAUUUUCUGUUGUGGUCGUGUUUUGAGUCUUUACUCAACUUCAACUUUGCAACACAGGCAAGAACUCCUUCUUUGACUGUUCCAUUUUGAACUACUUCAAAAUCUUGUCAAGGUAUAUACUCAUUGAAAAAAACUUAUCAAGCGUCUUGAUCUAUCUCUAUAGAUCUUGGUGCUCAAUGUGUAAGCAGCUUCAUCGAGGUCUUUCUUUGAAAAACUCUUUUCAAACGCUCCUUUAUGCUUUCCAAAAAAUUCUACAUUAUUUUUGAUUAACAAUAUGUUAUUCACAUAUACUUAUCAGAAAUGUUGUAGUGCUCCCACUCACUUUCUUGUAAAUAUAGGCUUCACCGCAAGUCUCUAUAAAACCAUAUGCUCUGAUCAUUUUAUCAAAGCAUAUAUUCCAACUCCGAGAUGCUUGCACCAGUCCAUAGAUGGAUCGCUGGAGCUUGCUCAUUUUGGUAGUACCUUUAGGAUUGACAAAACCUUCUGGUUGCAUCAUAUACAACUCUUCUUUUAAGAAAUUCAUUAAGGAAUACAGUAUUGACAUCCAUUUGCCAGAUUUCAUAAAAUGCGGCAACUGCUAACAUGAUUUGGACAGACUUUUAAGCAUCGAUACGAGUGAGAAAAUCUCAUCGUCAGGGGCGGAGCCAGGAUUUGAGCAUAGGGGGGCGAAGAACAUAAUGAUGUAGUUCAUCAUAUAUGAUUUUUAUCAAGAUAUAUAAUUAAGUCUUACAUAUAGCAGCAAUACAAAACUACUUUUCUAAAUUUAUGUGUAGAAUUAUGAAUUGCUAGCAGACCAAUCAAACUACUUAAUUAUCUAGUCUUCAUCUUUAUUAUUCAAAGAUGAUAAAAUUGAUAUAUGGUUUCAUUUUCAGUAAACCAACUUGGUUUUAUUGUUUUACUAAGCAACAUACAAUAAGUUGAAAGAUAAAACAAAUAUGAUGAAGCGGUCCUGAUGACAAAUAAAUAAAUUAUACUCCCUCUGUAAACUAAUAUAAGAGUGUUUAGAUAAUUAAAAUAGUGAUCUAAAUGCUCUUAUAUUAGUUUACAAAGGGAGUAUUUCCCAUUGAUCGGUUAAUUUAUUUUUCUCUAGUCAACAAUUUGCAAGCAUUUUAAUAAAAUCUGUAGCUACUAGUCUAGUUGUCGGUAGUGAUACCUUGAGAUCUGGGAUUGGGCCCGGACAUUAUGCUGAGAUGUUCACAUGUCAACUGAACUAAGCUUGUGGACAUUACGUGCAGUAGGUUGCUCUGUGAGAUCUAUCUCCCCGGUUGGAUUUGCAUCUUCAACUGUGGAGUUAUAGUUUGUAGCGAUUGGCUUGAACAAAUUACUUGUCCAUGGUUUCUUCGUCUUCAUGACCUAUGCAAUUCCCAUAUUAGAACAAAGCAAAUAUGUAAUCUAACCCGCAAAAAAGGCAAUAUGUAACAUGUAGUUGAUCUGGCAGGUUACAAAAUGUACUACUACUAAGUACAAAACAGUUGAUUAAUUGGUGUCAAGGUGUGUAGUCAAUCUGACAAUACCUCCGCAGCUGGUAGUCUGUUUUGCAGCCGGCCGACAGAUCAUAGUCCGUAGACUUGUAGUAGAAUCUUACUCAGAUUUGAUGCCCGGCAAACGGCAGCUUCGCUAAUUACCAAUCGGCGACGCCGCAACGCCUGGCGGCCCGAUGACAAUGAAGCCCUAGCACGAUGCGUGCAACGUCGGCGCGGACGAUAGAGUCUAGGAAGGAAGUCGCCUCAGCGCGUGAGUGCGUACGUGUGCGUCGAUCGAUUAAAGAGUACGUGAUGUCCAUACGACGGUGGAUGCGUACGUGCAGCCUUGGCCCAUGUUGCUUUCUUGCAAAAUCGUUUCGGGCUUGACAGUAGGAGCUUAGCCCAUAUCCUUGCUAAUCGCCAGAUAAUUAUUAAGUCUAAUACUAGUACCAGUGAAUAGGCUAGUCCCCGCUGUUGGGGAACGUAGUAAUUUCAAAAAUAUUCCUACGCACACGCAAGAUCAUGUGAUGCAUAACAACGAGAGGGGGGAGUGUGAUCUACAUACCUAGUAGAUCGACAAUGGAAGCGUUUGGUUAAUGUAGUCGCACGUCUUCGCGGCCCGACCGAUCAAGCACCGAAGCUACGACACCUCCAAGUUUUAGCACACGUUCAGCUCGAUGACAAUCCCCGAACUCCGAUCCAGCAAAGUGUCGGGGAAGAGUUCCGUCAGCACGACGGCGUGGUGACGAUCUUGAUGUACUACUGCAGCAGGGCUUCGCCUAAACUCCGCUACAAUAUUAUCGAGGACUAUGGUGGCUGGGGGCGCCGCACAUGGCUAAGGAAAAGAUCACGUGGAUCAACUUGUGUGUUCUAGGGUGCCUCUGCUUCAGUAUAUAAAGGACCAAAAGGGGGGAGGCUGGCCGGCCAAGGAGGGCGCGCCAGGAGAGUCCUACUCCCUCUGGGAGUAGGAUUCCCCCCCCCCCCCCAAUCCUAGUUGGAAUAGGAUUCGCGGAGGGGGGAAAAGAGAGAGAGGGGCCGGCCCCCUCUCCUUGUCCUAUUCGGACCAAGGGAGGGGAGGGGCGCGCGGCCCAUGAGGGGCUGCCUCUUCUCUUUUCCACUAAGACCCAUCAUGGCCCAUAUAGCUCCCGGGGGGUUCCGAUAACCUCCCGGUACUCCGGUAAAAUCCCGAUUUCACCCGGAACACUUCUGAUAUCCAAACAUAGGCUUUCAAUAUAUCAAUCUUUAUGUCUCGACCAUUUCGAGACUCCUCGUCAUGUCCGUGAUCACAUCUGAAACUCUGAACAACCUUCGGUACAUCAAAAUGCAUAAACUCAUAAUAUAACUGUCAUCGUAACCUUAAGCGUGCGGACCCUACGGGUUCGAGAACAAUGUAGACAUGACCAAGACACGUCUCCGGUCAAUAACCAAUAGCGGGACCUGGAUGCCCAUACUGGCUCCUACAUAUUCUACGAAGAUCUUUAUCGGUCAGACCGCAUAACAACAUACGUCGUUCCCUUUGUCAUCGGUAUGUUACUUGCCCGAGAUUCGAUCGUCGGUAUUCCAAUACCUAGUUCAAUCUCGUUGCCGGCAAGUCUCUUUACUCGUUCUGUAAUACAUCAUCCCGCAACUAACUCAUUAGUUGCAACGCUUGCAAGGCUUAAGUGAUGUGCAUUACCGAGAGGGCCCAGAGAUACCUCUCCGAUAAUCGGAGUGACAAAACCUAAUCUCGAAAUACGCCAACCCAACAUGUACCUUUGGAGACACCUGUAGUACUCCUUUAUAAUCACCCAGUUACGUUGUGACGUUUGGUAGUACCCAAAGUGUUCCUCCGAUAAACGGGAGUUGCAUAAUCUCAUAGUUAUAGGAACAUGUAUAAGUCAUGAAGAAAGCAAUAGCAACAUACUAAAGAUCGGGUGCUAAGCUAAUGGAAUGGGUCAUGUCAAUCAGAUCAUUCUCUUAAUGAUGUGAUCCCGUUAAUCAAAUAACAACUCAUUGUUCAUGGUCAGGAAACAUAACCAUCUUUGAUUAACGAGCUAGUCAAGUAGAGGCAUACUAGUGACACUUUGUUUGUCUAUGUAUUCACACAUGUAUUAUGUUUCCGGUUAAUACAAUUCUAGCAUGAAUAAUAAACAUUUAUCAUGAUUAUAAGGAAAUAAAUAAUAACUUUUUUAUUGCCUCUAGGGCAUAUUUCCUUCAGUCUCCCACUUGCACUAGAGUCAAUAAUCUAGUUCACAUCGCCAUGUGAUUUAACAGCAAUAGUUCACAUCACCAUGUAAUUAACACCCAUAGUCCACAUCGAUAUGUGACCAACACCCAAAGGGUUUACUAGAGUCAGUAAUCUAGUUCACAUCGCUAUGUGAUUAACACCCAAAGAGUACUAAGGUGUGAUCAUGUUUUGCUUGUGAGAUAAUUUUAGUCACCGGGUCUGUUAUAUUCCGAUCCGUAAGUAUUUUGCAAAUAUUUAUGUCAACAAUGCUCUACGCGGAGCUACUCUAGCUAAUUGCUCCCACUUUCAAUAUGUAUCUAGAUUGAGACUUAGAUUCAUCUAGCUUAGUGUCAAAACUUGCAUCGACGUAACCCUUAACGACGAACCCUUUUUGUCACGUCCAUAAUCGAGAAACAUAUCCUUAUUUCACUAAGGAUAAUUCUGACCGCUGUCCAGUGAUCUACUCCUAGAUCACUAUUGUACUCCCUUGCCAAAUCAGUGCAGGGUAUACAAUAGAUCUGGUACACAGCAUGAUAUACUUUAUAGAACCUAUGGCCAAGGCAUAGGGAAUGACUUUCAUUCUCUUUCUAUCUUCUGCUGUGGUCGGGCUUUGAGUCUUACUCAACUUCACACCUUGUAAUACAGGCAAGAACUCUUUCUUUGACUGCUCCAUUUUGAAUUACUUCAAAAUCUUGUCAAGGUAUGUACUCAUUUGAAAAACUUAUCAAGCGUCUUGAUCUAUCUCUAUAGAUCUUGAAGCUCAAUAUGUAAGCAGCUUCACCGAAGUCUUUCUUUGAAAAACUCCUUUCAAACACUCCUUUAUGCUUUAUAGAAUAAUUCUACAUUAUUUCCGAUCAACAAUAUGUCAUUCACAUAUACUUAUCAGAAAUGCCGUAGUGCUCCCACUCACUUUCUUGCAAAUACAGGCUUCACCACAAGUCUGUAUAAAACUAUAUGCUUUGAUCAACUCAUCAAAGCGUAUAUUCCAACUCCGAGAUGCUUGCACCAGCUCACAGAUGGAUCGCUGGAGCUUGCACAUUUUGUUAGUACCUUUCGGAUUUGACAAAACCUUCUAGUUGCAUCGUAUACAACUCUUCUUCAAUAAAUCCAUUAAGGAAUUCAGUUUUGUUUAUCCAUUUGCCAGAUUUCAUAAAAUGCGGCAAUUGCUAACAUGAUUCGGACAGACUUAAGCAUAGAUACGAGUGAGAAUCUCUCAUCGUAGUCAACACCUUGAACUUGUCGAAAAACCUUUUGCGACAAUUCUAGCUUUGUAGAUAAUAACACUACUAUCAGUGUCCGUCUUCCUCUUGAAGAUCCAUUUAUUUUUAUGGCUUGCCGAUCAUCGGGCAAAUCCAUCAAAGUCCAUACUUUGUUCUCAUACAUGGAUCAUAUCUCAGAUUUCAUGGCCUCAAACCAUUUCGCGGAAUCUGGGCUCAUCAUCGCUUCCUCAUAGUUCGCAAGUUCAUCAUGGUCUAGUAACAUGACUUCCAGAACAGGAUUACCGUACCACUCUGGUGCGGAUCUUACUCUGGUUUACCUACGAGAUUCGGUAGUAACUUGAUUUGAAGUUACAUGAUCAUCAUCAUUAUCUUCCUCACUAAUUGGUGUAGUAGUCACAAGAACAGAUUUCUAUGAUGAACUACUUUCCAAUAAGGGAGAAGGUACAAUUACCUUAUCAAGUUUUCUACUUUCCUCCCACUCACUUCUUUCGAGAGAAACUCCUUCUCUAGAAAGUUUCCGAAUUUAGCAACAAAAGUCUUGCCUUCGGAUCUGUGAUAGAAGGUGUAUCCAAUAGUUUCCUUUGGAUAUCCUAUGAAGACACAUUUCUCCGAUUUGGGUUUGAGCUUAUCGGGUUGAAACUUUUUCACAUAAGCAUUGCAACCUCAAACUUUAAGAAACAACAGCUUAGGUUUCUUGCCAAACCAUAGUUCAUACGGUGUCGUCUCAACGGAUUUAGAUGGUGCCCUAUUUAACGUGAAUGCAGCUGUCUCUAAUGCAUAACCCCAAAACGAUAGUGGUAGAUCGGUAAGAGACAUCAUAGAUCGCACCAUAUCUAAUAAAGUACGGUUAUGACGUUCGGACACACCAUUACGUUGUGGUGUUCCAGGUGGCGUGAGUAGUGAAACUAUUUCACAUUGUUUUUAACUGAAAGCCAAACUCGUAACUCAAAUACUCUUCUCUACGAUCAGAUCGUAGAAACUUUAUUUUCUUGUUACGAUGAUUUUUCACUUCACUUUGAAAUUCUUUAAACUUUUCAAAUGUUUCAGACUUAUGUUUCAUCAAGUAGAUAUACUCAUAUCUGCUCAAAUCAUCUAUGAAGAUCAGAAAAUAAUGAUAUCUGUCGCGAGCCUCAAUAUUCAUCAAACCACAUACAUCAGUAUGUAUGAUUUUCAACAAAUCUGUUCCUCGCUCCAUUGUUUCGAAGAACGGAGUCUUAGUCAUCUUGCCCAUGAGGCAUGGUUCGUAAGCAUCAACUGAUUCAUAAUCAAGUGAUUCCAAAAGCCCAUCAGCAUGGAGUUUCUUCAUGCGCUUUACACCAAUAUGACCUAAACGGCAGCGCCAUAAAUAAGUUGCACUAUCAUUAUUAACUUUGCAUCUUUUGGUUUCAAUAUUAUGAUUAUGUGUAUCACUACGAUCGAGAUCCAACGAACUAUUUUCAUUGGGUGUGUAACCAUAUAAGGUUUUAUUCAUGUAAACAGAACAACAAUUUAUUCUCUUACUUAAAUGAAUAACCGUGUUACAAUAAACAUGAUCAAAUCAUAUUCAUGCUGAACGCAAACACCAAAUAACACUUAUUUAGGUUCAACACUAAUCCCGAAAUUAUAGGGAGUGUGCGAUGAUGAUCAUAUCAAUCUUGGAACCACUUCCAACACACAUCGUCACUUCACCCUUAACUAGUCUCUGUUUAUUCUGCAACUCCCGUUUCGAGUUACUAAUCUUAGCAACUGAACUAGUAUCAAAUACUGAGGGGUUGCUAUAAACACUAGUAAAGUACACAUCAAUAAGAUGUAUAUCAAAUAUACUUAUGUUCACUUUGCCAUCCUUCUUAUCCGCCAAUCACUUGGGGUAGUUCCGCUUCUAGUGACCAGUCCCUUUGCAGUAGAAGCACUUAGUCUUAGGCUUAGGACUAGACUUGGGCUUCUUCACUUGAGCAGCAACUUGCUUGCCGUUCUUCUUGAAGUUCCCCUUCUUCCCUUUGCCCUUUUCUUGAAACUAGUGGUCUUGUUAACCAUCAACACUUGAUGUUUUUCUUGAUUUCUACCUUCAUCGAUUUCAGCAUCACGAAGAGCUUGGAAAUUAUUUUUGUCAUCCCUUGCAUAUUAUAGUUCAUCACGAAGUUCUACUAACUUGGUGAUGGUGACUAGAGAAUUCUGUCAAUCACUAUCUUAUCUGGAAGAUUAACUCCCACUUGAUUCAAGCGAUUGUAGUACUCAGACAAUCUGGGCACAUGCUCACUAGUUGAGCGAUUCUCCUCCAUCUUUUAGCUAUAGAACUUGUUGGAGACUUCAUAUCUCUCAACUCAGGUAUUUGCUUGAAAUAUUAACUUCAACUCCUGGAACAUCUCAUAUGCUCCAUGACGUUCAAAACAUCUUUGAAGUCCCGAUUCUAAGCCAUUAAGCAUGGUGCACUAAACUAUCAAGUAGUCAUCAUAUUGAGCUAGCCAAACGUUCAUAACGUCUGCAUCUGCUCCUGCAAUAGGUCUGUCACCUAGCGGUGCAUCAAGGACAUAAUUCUUCUGUGCAGCAAUGAGGAUAAACCUCAGAUUACGGAUCCAAUCCGCAUCAUUGCUACUAACAUCUUUCAACACAAUUUUCUCUAGGAACAUAUCAAAAUAAACACAGGGAAGCAACAACGUGAGCUAUUGAUCUACAACAUAAUUUGCAAAAUACUACCAGUACUAAGUUCAUGAUAAAUUUAAGUUCAAUUUAAUCAUAUUACUUAAGAACUCCCACUUAGAUAGACAUCCCUCUAAUCCUCUAAGUGAUCACGUGAUCCAAAUCAACUAAACCAUGUCCGAUCAUCACGUGAGAUGGAGUAGUUUCAUUGGUGAACAUCACUAUGUUGAUCAUAUCUACUAUAUGAUUCACGCUCGACCUUUCGGUCUCCGUGUUCCGAGGCCAUAUCUGUAUAUGCUUGGCUCGUCAAGUAUAACCUGAGUAUUCCGCGUGUGCAACUGUUUUGCACCCGUUGUAUUUGAACGUAGAACCUAUCACACCCAAUCAUCACGUGGUGUCUCAGCACGAAGAACUUUCGCAACGGUGCAUACUCAGGGAGAACACUUCUUGAUAAUUUAGUGAGAGAUCAUCUUAUAAUGCUACCGUCAAUCAAAGCAAGAUAAGAUGCAUAAAAGAUAAACAACACAUGCAAUCAAUAUAAGUGAUAUGAUAUGGCCAUCAUCAUCUUGUGCUUGUGAUCUCCAUCUCCGAAGCACCGUCGUGAUCACCAUCGUCAUCGGCGUGACACCUUGAUCUCCAUCGUAGCAUCGUUGUCGUCUCGCCAAGCUUGUGCUUCCACGACUAUCGCUACCGUUUAGUGAUAAAGUAAAGCAUUACAUCGCGAUUGCAUUGCAUACAAUAAAGCGACAACCAUAUGGCUCCUGCCGGUUGCCGAUAACUCGGUUACAAAACAUGAUCAUCUCAUACAAUAAAAUUCAGCAUCAUGUCUUGACCAUAUCACAUCACAACAUGCCCUGCAAAAACAAGUUAGACGUCCUCUACUUUGUUGUUGCAAGUUUUACGUGGCUGCUACGGGCUUAAGUAAGAACCAAUCUCACCUACGCAUCAAAACCACAACGAUAGUUUGUCAAUUUGACUCCGUUUUAACCUUCGCAAGGACCGGGCGUAGCCACACUUGGUUCAACUAAAGUUGGAGAAACUGUCACCCACAAGCCACCUCUGUGCAAAGCACGUCGGGAGAACUGGUCUCGCGUAAGUGUACGCGUAAUGUCGGUCUAGGCCGCUUCAUCCAACAAUACCGCCGAACCAAAGUAUGACAUGCUGGUAGGCAGUAUGACUUAUAUCGCCCACAACUCACUUGUGUUCUACUCGUGCAUAUAACAUCAACAUAUAAAACCUAGGCUCGGAUGCCACUGUUGGGGAACGUAGUAAUUUCAAAAAAAAUUCCUACGCACACGCAAGAUCAUGUGAUGCAUAGCAACGAGAGGGGGGAGUGUGAUCUACAUACCUAGUAGAUCGACAACGGAAGCGUUUGGUUGAUGUAGUCGUACGUCUUCGCGGCCCGACCGAUCAAGCACCGAAACUACGGCACCUCCGAGUUUUAGCACACGUUCAGCUCGAUGACGAUCCCCGGACUCCGAUCCAGCAAAGUGUCGGGGAAGAGUUCCGUCAGCACGAUGGCGUGGUAACGAUCUUGAUGUACUACUGCAGCAGGGCUUCGCCUAAACUCCGCUACAAUAUUAUCGAGGACUAUGGUGGCUGGGGGCGCCGCACACGGCUAAGGAAAAGAUCACGUGGAUCAACUUGUGUGUUCUAGGGUGCCUCUGCCUCAGUAUAUAAAGGACCAAAAGGGGGGAGGCUGGCCGGCCAAGGAGGGCGCACCAGGAGAGUCCUACUCCCUCUGGGAGUAGGAUUCCCCCCCCCAAUCCUAGUUGGAAUAGGAUUCACGGAGGGGGGGAAAAGAGAGAGAGGGGUCGGCCCCCUCUCCUUGUCCUAUUCGGACCAAGGGAGGGGAGGGGCGUGCGGCCCAUGAGGGGCUGCCUCUUCUCUUUUCCACUAAGGCCCAUCAUGGCCCAUAUAGCUCCCGGGGGGUUCCGGUAACCUCCCGGUACUUCGGUAAAAAUCCUGAUUUCACCCGGAACACUUCCGAUAUCCAAACAUAGGCUUCCAAUAUAUCAAUGUUUAUGUCUCGACCAUUUAGAGACUCCUCGUCAUGUCUGUGAUCACAUCCGGGACUCCGAACAACCUUCGGUACAUCAAAAUGCAUAAACUCAUAAUAUAACUGUCAUCGUAACCUUAAGCAUGCGGACCCUACGGGUUCGAGAACAAUGUAGACAUGAUCGAGACACGUCUCCGGUCAAUAACCAAUAGCGGGACCUGGAUGCCCAUAUUGGCUCCUACAUAUUCUACGAAGAUCUUUAUCAGUCAGACCACAUAACAACAUACGUCGUUCCCUUUGUCAUCGGUAUGUUACUUGCCCGAGAUUCGAUUGUCGGUAUUCCAAUACCUAGUUCAAUCUCGUUGCCGGCAAGUCUCUUUACUCGUUCUGUAAUACAUCAUCCCGCAACUAACUCAUUAGUUGCAAUGCUUGCAAGGCUUAAGUGAUGUGCAUUACCGAGAGGGCCCAGAGAUACCUCUCCGACAAUCGGAGUGACAAAACCUAAUCUCGAAAUACGCCAACCCAACAUGUACCUUUGGAGACACCUGUAGUACUCCUUUAUAAUCACCCAGUUACGUUGUGACGUUUGGUAGUACCCAAAGUGUUCCUCCGGUAAACGGGAGUUGCAUAAUCUCAUAGUUAUAGGAACAUGUAUAAGUCAUGAAGAAAGCAAUAGCAACAUACUAAAGAUCGGGUGCUAAGCUAAUGGAAUGGGUCAUGUCAAUCAGAUCAUUCUCUUAAUGAUGUGAUCCCGUUAAUCAAAUAACAACUCAUUGUUCAUGGUCAGGAAACAUAACCAUCUUUGAUUAACGAGCUAGUCAAGUAGAGGCAUACUAGUGACACUUUGUUUGUCUAUGUAUUCACACAUGUAUUAUGUUUCCGGUUAAUACAAUUCUAGCAUGAAUAAUAAACAUUUAUCAUGAUUAUAAGGAAAUAAAUAAUAACUUUAUUAUUGCCUCUAGGGCAUAUUUCCUUCACCNNNNNNNNNNNNNNNNNNNNNNNNNNNNNNNNNNNNNNNNNNNNNNNNNNNNNNNNNNNNNNNNNNNNNNNNNNNNNNNNNNNNNNNNNNNNNNNNNNNNNNNNNNNNNNNNNNNNNNNNNNNNNNNNNNNNNNNNNNNNNNNNNNNNNNNNNNNNNNNNNNNNNNNNNNNNNNNNNNNNNNNNNNNNNNNNNNNNNNNNNNNNNNNNNNNNNNNNNNNNNNNNNNNNNNNNNNNNNNNNNNNNNNNNNNNNNNNNNNNNNNNNNNNNNNNNNNNNNNNNNNNNNNNNNNNNNNNNNNNNNNNNNNNNNNNNNNNNNNNNNNNNNNNNNNNNNNNNNNNNNNNNNNNNNNNNNNNNNNNNNNNNNNNNNNNNNNNNNNNNNNNNNNNNNNNNNNNNNNNNNNNNNNNNNNNNNNNNNNNNNNNGCCUCUGCUCAUCAUAGUCAACGCCUUAUUGUCGAAAACAUUUUGCGACAAUUCGAACUUUGUAGAUAGUAACACUAUAUCAGCGUCUGUCUUCCUCUUGAAGAUCCAUUUAUUCUUAAUGACUCACCGAUCAUCGGGCAAGUCAAUCAAAGUCCAUACUUUGUUCUUAUACAUGGAUCCCAUCUCAGAUUUCAUGGCCUCAAGCCAUUUCGCGGAAUCUGGGCUCAUCAUCGCUUCCUCAUAGUUUGUAGGUUCGUCAUGGUCAAGUAACAUGACAUUCAGAACAGGAUUACCAUACCAUUCUGGUGCGGAUCCCAUUCUGGUUGACCUACUAGGUUCGGUAGUAACUUGAUCUGAAGUUACAUGAUCAUCAUUAUUAGCUUCCUCACUAAUUGGUGUAGGAGUCACAGGAACAGAUUUCUGUGAUGAACUACUUUCCAAUAAGGGAUCAGGUACGGUUGCCUCAUCAAGUUCUACUUUCCUCCCACUCACUUCUUUUAAGAUAAACUCCUUCUCUAGAAAGGAUCCAUUCUUAGCAACGAAUGUCUUGCCUUUGGAUCUGUGAUAGAAGGUGUACCCAACUUUCUCCUUUGGGUAUCCUAUGAAUACACAUUUCUCCAAUUUGGGUUUGAGCUUAUCAGGAUGAAACUUUUUCACAUAAGCAUCGCAACCCCAAACUUUAAGAAACGACAACUUUGGUUUCUUGCCAAACCACACUUCAUAUGGAGUCGUCUCAACGGAUUUAGAUGGUGCCAUAUUUAACGUGAAUGCAGUUGUCUCUAAUGCAUAACCCCAAAAUGACAGUGGUAAAUCGGUAAGAGACAUCAUAGAUUGCACCAUAUCUAAUAAAGUACGGUUACGAUGUUCGGACACACCAUUAUACUGUGGUGUUCCAGGUGGCGUGAGUUGCGAAACUAUUCCGCAUUGUUUCAAAUGAAGACCAAACUCGUAACUCAAAUAUUCUCCUCCAUGAUCAGAUCGUAGAAACUUUAUUUUCUUGUUACGAUGAGUUUCCACUUGACUCUGAAAUUAUUUGAACUUUUCAAAUGUUUCAGAUUUAUGUUUCAUCAAGAAGAUAUGCCCAUAUCUUACUCAAAUCAUCUGUGAAGGUCAGAAAAUAACGAUACAUGCCGCGAGCCUCAACACUCAUCGGACUGCAUACAUCAGUAUGUAUUAUUUCCAACAAGUCUGUUGCUCGCUCCAUUGUUCCGGAGAACAGAGUCUUAGUAAUCUUGUCCAUGAGGCAUGGUUCGCAAACAUCAACUAAUUCAUAAUCAAGUGAUUCCAAAAGCCCAUCAACAUGGAUUUUCUUCAUGCGCUUUACACCAAUAUGACCUAAACGGCAGUGCCACAAAUAAGUUGCACUUUCAUUAUUAACUUUGCAUCUUUUGGCUUCAAUAUUAUGAAUAUGUGUAUCAUUACGAUCAAGAUUCAAUAAACCAUUCACCUUGGGUGUAUGACCAUUGAAGGUUUUAUUCAUGUAAACAGAACAACAAUUAUUCUCUGACUUUAAAUGAAUAACCGUAUUACAAUAAACAUGAUCAAAUCAUAUUCAUGCUUAACGCAAAUACCAAAUAACAUUUAUUUAGGUUCAACACUAAUCCCGGAAGUAUAGGGAGUGUGCGAUGAUGAUCAUAUCAAUCUUGGAACCACUUCAAACACACAUCGUCACUUCACCCUUAACUAGUCUCUGUUCAUUCUGCAACUCCCAUUUUGAGUUACUAAUCUCAACAACUGAACUAGUAUCAAAUACUAAGGGGUUGCUAUAAACACUACUAAAGUACACAUCAAUAACAUGUAUAUCAAAUAUACUUUUGUUCACUUUGCCAUCCUUCUUAUCCACCAAAUACUUGGGGCAGUUCUGCUUCCAGUGACAAGUCCCUUUGCAGUAGAAGCACUUAGUCUCAGGCUUAGGUCUAGACUUGGGCUUCUUCACUUGAGCAGCAACUUGCUUGUUGUUCUUCUUGAAGUUCCCCUUCUUCCCUUUGCCCUUUUCUUGAAACUAGUGGUCUUGUCAACCAUCAACAAUUUAUGCUUUUCUUGAUUUCUACCUUUCUCGAUUUCAGCAUCACGAAGAGCUUGGGAAUCGUUUUCAUUAUUCCUUGCAUAUUAUAGUUCAUCAUGAAGUUUCAGUAACUUGGUGAUAGUAACUAGAGAACUCUGUCAAUCACUAUCUUAUCUGGAAGAUUAACUCCCACUUGUUUCAAGUGAUUGUAGUACUCAGACAUUCUGAGCACAUGCUCACUAGCUGAGAUAUUCUCCUCCAUCUUGUAGGCAAAGUGCUUGUCAAAGGUCUCAUACCUUUCCACAUGGGCAUGAGUCUAAAAUACUAAUUUCACUUGGAACAUCUCAUAUGCUCCAUGGCAUUCAAAAUGUCUUCGAAGCCCCGAUUCUAAGCCGUAAAGCAUGGUUCACCUAACUAUCAAGUAGUCAUCAUAUUGAGCUCGCCAAACAUUCAUAACGUCUGUAUCUGCUCCUGCAAUCGGUCUGUCACCUAGUGGUGCAUCAAGGACAUAAUUCUUCUGUGCAGCAAUGAGGAUAAUCCUCAGAUCACGGAUCCAAUCCGCAUCAUUGCUACUAACAUCUUUCAACUUAGUUUUUCUCUAGGAACAAAUCAAAAUAAAUGGGGAGCUACAUCGCGAGCUAUUGAUCUACAAUAUAGUUAUGCAAAUACUAUCAAGACUAAGUUCAUGAUAAAUUAAGGUUCAAUUAAUCAUAUUACUUAAGAACUCCCACUUAGAUAGACAUCCCUCUAAUCAUCUAAGUGAUCACGUGAUCCAAAUCAACUAAACCAUAACCGAUCAUCACGUGAAAUGGAGUAGUUUUUAAUGGUGAACAUCACUAUGUUGAUCAUAUCUACUAUAUGAUUCACGCUCGACCUUUCGGUCUCAGUGUUCUGAGGCCAUAUCUGUAUAUGCUAGGCCAUCAUCAUCUUGUGCCUUUGAUCUCCAUCUCCAAGGUACCGUCAUGAUCUCUAUCGUCACCGACAUGACACCAUGAUCUCCAUUAUCUUGAUCUCUAUCAACGUGUCGUCACAUGGUUGUCUCGCCAACUAUUGCUCUUGCAACUAUUGCUAUCGCAUAACGAUAAAGUAAAGCAAUUGUUUGGCGCUUGCAUCUUAUGCAAUAAAGAGACAACCAUAAGGCUUCUGCCAGUUGCCGAUAACUUCAACAAAACAUGAUCAUCUCAUACAACAACUUAUAUAUCACCACGUCUUGACCAUAUCACAUCACAACAAGCCCUGCAAAAACAAGUUAGGCGUCCUCUACUUUGUUGUUGCAAGUUUUAAGUGGCUGCUACGGGCUGAGCAAGAACCAUUCUUACCUACGCAUCAAAACCACAACGAUAGUUCGUCAAGUUAGUGUUGUUUUAACCUUCAACAAGGACCAGUCGUAGUCACACUCGGUUCAACUAAAGUUGGAGAAACUGACACCCGCCAGCCACCUGUGUGCAAAGCACGUCGGUAGAACGAGUCUCGCGUAAGCGUACGCGUAAUGUCGGUCCGGACUGCUUCAUCCAACAAUACCGCCGAACCAAAGUAUGACAUGCUGGUAAGCAGUAUGACUUGUAUCGCCCACAACUCACUUGUGUUCUACUCGUGCAUAUAACAUCUACGCAUAAACCUGGCUCGGAUGCCACUGUUGGGGAACGUAGUAAUUUCAAAAUUUUCCUACGCACACACAAGAUCAUGGUGAUGCAUAGUAACGAGAGGGAAGAGUAUCGUCCACGUACCCUCAUAGACUGUAAGCGGAAGUGUUAUGAGAACGCGGUUGAUGUAGUCGAACGUCUUCACGAUCCGACCAAUUCAAGUACCGAACGCACGACACCUCUGAGUUAAGCACACGUUCAGCUCGAUGAUGUCCCACGAACUCCGAUCUAGCAGAGCUUCACGGGAGAGUUCCGUCAGCACGACAGCGUGGUGACGGUGAUGAUGUUGGUACCGACGCAGGGCUUCGCCUAAGCACCGCUACGAUAUGAUCGAGGUGGAUUAUGGUGGAGGGGGGCACCGCACACGGCUAAGGGAUCAAUGAUCAACUUGUGUGUUCUAGGAUGCCCCCCUCCCCCCAUAUAUAAAGGAGCAACGGGGGAGGCCGGCCGGCCCCUGUAGGGCGCGCCAGGAGGAGUCCUCCUCCUAGUAGGAGUAGGACACCCCUUUCCUACUCCUACUAGGAGGAGGAAAGGAAGGGGGAAGGGGAGAAAGAAGGAGAGGGAGGAAAGGAGGAAUGGGGGGCCGCCCCCCUAGUCCAAUUCGAUUUGAGCUAGGGGGGCCGCGCGCCCUGCCUCCUCUCUUCCACCACUUGGCCCAUGAGGCCCAAUACUUCUUCCUCGUAUUCCCGUAACUCCCCGGUACUCCAAAAAAUACCCAAAUCACUCGGAACCUUUCCGAUGUCCGAAUAUAGCCGUCCAAUAUAUCGAUCUUUACGUCUCGACCAUUUCGAGACUCCUCAUCAUGUCCCUGAUCUCAUCCGGGACUCUGAACUACCUUCGGUACAUCAAAUCACUUAAACUCAUAAUACCGAUCGUCACCGAACGUUAAGCGUGCGGACCCUACGGGUUCGAGAACUAUGUAGACAUGACCGAGACACGUCUCCGUUCAAUAACCAAUCGCGGAACCUAGAUGUUCAUAUUAGCUCUUACAUAUUCUACGAAGAUAUUUAUCGGUCAAACCGCAUAACAACAUACGUUGUUCCCUUUGUCAUCGAUAUGUUACUUGCCCGAGAUUUGAUCGCCGGUAUCUCAAUACCUAGUUCAAUAUCGUUACCGGCAAGUCUCUCUACUCGUUUCCUAAUGCAUCAUCCCGCAACUAACUCAUUAGUUGCAUUGCUUGCAAGGCUUAUAGUGAUGUGCAUUGCCGAGAGGGCCCAGAGAUACCUCUCCGACAAUCGGAGUGACAAAUCCUAAUCUUGAUCUAUGCCAACUCAACAAGCACCAUCGGAGACACCUGUAGAGCACCUUUAUAAUCACCCAGUUACGUUGUGACGUUUGGUAGCACACAAAGUGUUCCUCCGGCACUCGGGAGUUGCAUAAUCUCAUAGUCAUAGGAACAUGUAUAAGUCAUGAAGAAAGCAAUAGCAACAAACUAAACAAUCAUCGUGCUAAGCUAACGGAUGGGUCAAGUCAAUGACAUCAUUCUCUAAUGAUGUGGUCCUGUUAAUCAAAUGACAACUCAUGUCUAUGGUUAGGAAACAUAACCAUCAUUGAUUCAACGAGCUAGUCAAGUAGAGGCAUACUAGUGACAUUCUGUUUGUCUAUGUAUUCACACAUGUACUAAGUUUCCGAUUAAUACAAUUCUAGCAUGAACAAUAAACAUUUAUCAUGAAAUAAGGAAAUAAAUAAUAACUUUAUUAUUGUCUCUAGGGCAUAUUUCCUUCAGAACUGUGACUGCAUCAACCUGGUACGAUGAAGUCCAUGGCGUCGACGUAGAUCGUGCGGACAGGGUCCGGUGGGUUGAUGUCGAACAUGUCUCCCCCGUCUGUGGUGAAGGUGAAGGAGCCAGAGAAGAUCCGAUCUGAGAUUUGUCACUAGACGAUGCUUCUGAUGCAUGACGCGCCAACUAACGAUGUGGAAAAUUGUCAGUACCCUCUAUGGGGUUACUAGCGUGUGGUUAGAAGUCUUAAAUCAGAGGUCACACAGUGGUUUUACCCAGGUUCGGGCCUCUGGUGAGGAAUAAUACCCUACAACAUGCUUGUCAUUGUUAUUCAUUAUGGGUAUACCUCGUGUGAGGGAUUAUAAGGGAUUGGUGUAGUUCUACCGAGAGAUGAGUCUAUCUGAGAAUAGAUGGAAAUAAGAGCCCCCGCCUCCCCUUAUAUGGGUUGUUUGAUCUAGGCCGCCGCAUCAUAGACUUGGAGACCAAGAUGACCCAGAGACUCUUAUCUCUUUCUCCAGGCUCCUUCCUAUCGUGAGGUACUUGGCUAGCCUCCUGGGCCCUCAAGCAGGCCUGCAGCCUGGAUCCCUGUGGGUGAGCCACCCCUAGGGCUGCCUCCCCUACCCCCGCCUAUAUAUAUAUGUGUGUGUGUGUGUGUGAGGAGGGAGAGGGGAAACACCACCACGAUCCUCAACCGUGUGCGGCACCCCCUCUCCCUCUAGUUCUAGUUUCUCCUCGUCCAUGUCCGUUGUGCUUGGCGAAGCCCUACGGAAUAGUUUCACCACCACCGUUACAACAUUGUCGUGCUACCGGAACUCAUCUACUACUUCGCCUCUCUUGCUGGAUUGAGAAGGUGAGAACGUCAUCGAGCUAAACGUGUGUUGAAAGCGGAGGUGCCGUACGUUCGGCACUUGAUCGAGACAGAUUGUGAAGGUGUACAACUACAUCAACCGCGUUGAUAAACGCUUCCGCUUAGCGAUCUACAAGGGUAUAUAGAUGAUCUCCCCCCUCCCAUAGCUAUGCAUGUCCAUGGAUAGAUCUUGCAUGUGCGUAGAAUUUUUUUAUUUUUCAUGCAACGUUCCCCAACAAGUACCUCCAUUAUUUAGAGAAAAAAAUUUAGUUUGUCCUUAUUCCCAUGAGCAAUCCUAUGAAAGUAACUUGUGUUAUUGCCCCCUUUAAAAAGCCAAUUUUCACUUGAUCUUCUAUGAAAAUACUCUUCCUUUUCUUCCAAAGAUCCACAAAUGGCACUUUAAAUCUUGUCACGUUUAAACAAAAUGUUUAUGUCAAAAUUUCUUCACAAGGAAAGAAUGCACUGCCGAAGAGACUCACAAACUUGUUUUCUUCAAAAAAGACAAAGGAAAUCAUAUAUUAAAGUCAACCGACCCUUAUAGGCCAUCUUAAAGAAAUUAAAAAUUACACACAUGUCUUUGCGGAAUCAACUAGGGGGGGGGCAAGCUCAUAGCUCGCGAGCUUAAUGAGCGCUCGAUAAUUUGGCUCGUUAAGAUCGUGGCUCGAUUCUUAAUGAACAGAGCCAAUCAUCGAUUUUAUCUCGUUAAGCUUAACGAACGACCUAACGAGUUUCACAAGUAGCUCGUUAAGCUCAUUUGUAACAACACAACACAUAUUUUCAUCUCACGUGACAGUUUUGUAGGACCUCAGCCAUCUAUUCAGUUUAAUCUACAUAGGAGGCAACAAACUAGUGCAUUCCCCUUUGUAGUCACCACCUUCCUUCUUAAAACCACAUCUAAACACUCAACCUAUAGACCAUAAACACAUCAGAAUCUGUUAACAAGCGCUCGCGAGCUUAACGAGCUUCGAACAGAGCAAAGUUUUCUGCUCGUUAAUAUUAACGAGCUUAACGGGCAUGAGCUUAAAGAGCCGAGUCGCUCGUUAAUCCACCCAUGUUGUUUGAGAUGUUUAGGGGCGGCAUCGAGCUUCACUCAUUGUGCACCACUGGGAGUGCAACCUAUGCAACAACAUUAGAGCCAGAUAAACAUUGUUGACGCAACAUGCAGGAAGUUAUCGGUUGGAGCCAGAAGACGUCGUCGAUAUCGAUCUGGGAAACUGAUAACCCACAAGUAUAGGGGAUCUUUUGUAGCCUUCUUCGAUAAAUAAGAGUGUCGAACCGAAUGAGGAGCUAAAGAUAGAGCAAAUAUUCCCUCAAGUUCUACCGACCACCGAUACAACUCUACGCACACUUGACAUUUGCUUUACCAAAAAUAAGUAUGAAACUAUUUUGCAAGAAUAAAACUACGAGUACUUUGCGAGAAUAAAACUAUGAAUAAAUUGCAAGGUAAUAAAAAUGGAUAUCUUUUGUCAACAAGAAAGUCAUUUGUCCCUAGGUAAUCGAUAACAAGUACCGAUAAUCAUUUGUGUAAUUUUACAUAAGGGAGGGGCAUGAGCUAACAUACUUUCUCUACUUGGAUCAUAUGCACUUAUGAUUGGACCCCUAGCAAGCAUCCGCAACUACUAAAGAUCAUUAAGGUCGUGAAACCCAACCAUAGCAUUAAGUAUCAAGUCCUCUUUACUCCCAUACGCCAUAACCCACUUAUCCGCGUUUAGGCUGUUGUCACCCCCGCAACACCGACAAUAAGCAAACCAUGAACAUAUUGCAACACCCUACAGCGGGGGCCCCUCCGUUUGCGCGACACGGAGGGCACCGUAGGACAACACCAUAAAUAAAAUAUACAAUCAUACCAAACAAGAUCACGAUUAACCCACAGGACAAACCAUAUCUACUCAAACAUCAUAGGAUAAUCAUAGAUCAUUGGAAAAUAAUAUAUGGAGUUGAGAACCAUGUUUAAGUAGAGAUUACAUCAGGGAGAAGGGGCAUUGCACCGCUGCAUAGAGGGGGAGAAAGUUGGUGUUGACGGUAGUAAUAUUGUUGAUGUAGAUCGCCGUCACGAUCCUUGCCCCGGCGGCGUUUCGACGCCGCCGGGAGAGAGGGGGGGAGAGCCUCCCUCCUUCUUCUUCUUCCUUGGCCUCCCCCCUAGAUGGGAGGAGAGUUCCCCCUUUGGUCCAUGGUCUCCAUGNNNNNNNNNNNNNNNNNNNNNNNNNNNNNNNNNNNNNNNNNNNNNNNNNNNNNNNNNNNNNNNNNNNNNNNNNNNNNNNNNNNNNNNNNNNNNNNNNNNNNNNNNNNNNNNNNNNNNNNNNNNNNNNNNNNNNNNNNNNNNNNNNNNNNNNNNNNNNNNNNNNNNNNNNNNNNCCCUCUCAGUUCUCUUCUGUUUCACAUUUUAGAUCUGGCCCUUCACCGUUUCUUUAAUUCCUGGAGAGUCGUAACUCCGAUUGCGCUGGAAUUUUUGCACAAUUUUUCCCCAUAAAUUAUCUUUAUUGCGCCAGAAGAAGGGCCCCAGCCGUGUUUCGAGGAGGGCAUAAGACACCUGGGCGUGUCAAGGGGUGCCCGGCGCGCCCUAGUGGGUCUUGGGGGCUGUGGGCCCCCGUUUGCUUUGGUUUCACCUCCCCAAAAUCACAUGUAUUCCAAAAUAAUUCUUCGUAAAUUUUUAUCGCGUUUGGACUUCGUUUGAUAUGGAUUUUUUGCGAAACAAAAAACAUGCAACAAAUAGGAACUGACAUUGGGCACUGGAUCAAUAUGUUAGUCCAAAUAAAUCAUAUAAAAUGUUGCCAAAAGUUUAUAACAGUUGUAUAAUAUUGGCAUGAAGCAAUCAAAAAUUAUAGAUACAAUGAAGACGUAUCAGAAACAUAUCACCAUGACGAAGAAGACACAACGUAGAGGACUAGAUGACAACCCAACUCCGGCUAGACAUGGUCGAGGAGGCCUUACCUUAUAAGCUCCCUGAUGAUGUCAAAGUUGUUCGAACGUCGCCGUUUGGAGAAGGAGCCAGAGGACUAUGACAUGAAGCGACAUUGUCCAGUCUGUUGGAGGACGCUUUUGAAUACCACAUGCAUAACACGGGGACACAAUCAAAUCAGCCACUCUAGAAAGAGCAGCGACCAGACGACUCACACCCUCCUGCCAUCGAGGAGACCGUCGUUGACAAGGUGGAUCGAGAGUCGGAGAAUCUUAUUCUUGAUCCACAUAACAUUGCCAUCAUCACCACAAUGCUACCACCGGGGAGGGAAACUCUUAACUCUAAAAGACCUAACCACAAUACCACAAUGUCUAUCUAGGAUCCCCACUACGAGGCUUGGAUCAUGCAAGUAAAGAUAUCUCCGAAGCUGUCGACCACAAGUCUAACACAUACCAAUUCAGUUAUCAAAGGUGAGGAUGCACCGAGGGAGACAAGAUCCACGACGCUGGUUCAAGCUAUUAUGACUGUUAUUUACUUAAUCACCGUACAUUUUACAUUACCUAAGAACAACAUGUAUAUCACUACACUAACAACCGCUUUGAAGGAGGUAAGAAGAGAAGAGACUACAUCCUAUCCUAUACUCCUACUCAGGUAGUCUCUCUUCUUCAUGUAUAUCCUGGCCCACCAUUCGCGGAACCCUAACUUCUCCUCAAAAUCGAGAGAACUCGCUUUAAAAAAACCCAAGGGAACUCUAUGCGAGCCCUGUACAGCCACCAUCGCUCCACCCGCUCCCCACAGGUCAGGCUACGGGUUCCCUUCGCAUUUAUAUGCCGCUUGAUGGCAGGACAUGGUAGAUGUAAAGCCUCCAAUAGGUUUCUGAUCAAAUCCAGGAGGAAUUGAUGGGGAUUUUGAGGAAUCAAUGUUUUUUGUUGUUUGGCACAAAUUAUGAAAUAAAGUGUGUGCACGACAAGAUAUAAAGACUGGAAAAGUUCUGUGUUCAAUAUUAGAAAAAUGUGCCCAUUCUCACAAAAAAGAAAAAAAGUGUCCUAUAACAAAAGGACCGCACUAUUUGGCACAUGUGUGGCAGAUAGCAAAACUGUCACACACCUCUUUUUUUCCUUCUAAUUGCAUGCAUGCAUGCUACUCGCUCGCUUCUUUCAUGUUUAUUUCUUUCUCUAAUUACAUACAUGCACUAGUGGGAAAAAAACUGAUGUCAUGCUAAAAUCUCCUUAUUCCGAAAUUCAAAAUGUUUUGUAGCCCAAACCGUCGGUCCGAUGCAAAAACUGUUAUCACAUAAAAGAUUCGUCUCGACGAAAUCUUCAAAACUAGAUUCCAUAUUGGUAUGUUCCGAUGACAUUUUUCAGGUCAAAAGUUAUCAUGCCUCUGCUACAUAUGUUACCACCCAUGUGGUAUGCAAGCUAUCGUGCUAUGUCCAUAUAAGUUAUCGGGGUUAUAAUUUUCAACAACUCCCCCCUUGGUCAAAAGUUACCACAAUGUUUGCACGUAAGUUAUUGGAUAUGCAGUUCGUAUAUUACCAUGAUAUUUCACAUAAAUUAGAGGGCUAUAUUUUUUAACUUGUUCCCCUCCUUGGUUAAAGUUAUCAUGGUGUACGUAAUUUAUCCGGUAUGCCGUUCGUAUAUCACCGUGUUAUUUUCAUAUAAGUUACCAGGGGUAUAUUUGAAAAUUAAAAAUGUUUUGUAACUCAAACAGUCGGUCCAAUUCAAAAAUAUAAUUUCACAUAAAAAAUCCAUCGCGAUUAAGACCUUCAAAACUCAAUCUCAUGUUGGUAUGUUCUAAUGACUUUUCUUGAGAGUCAAAAGCUACCACGCCUAGGCUAAUGAAAUUAUCACGUCAUCGGUGUGUAUAUAUUAUCAUGUUAUUUGCAAAGAAAAGUUAUCGUGGAUGUUUUCAACAAUUUUUUUCCUCAAGGGUGAAAAGUUACCAUGGUGUUUUUAAGUAAGUUAUCAGAUAUGUGGCGUGUAUGUUACCAAGGUAUUUACACAUAAGUUAGAGGGGGUACAUUUUUAACAGCCUUUUUACUGUGGCAAAAGAUUACCAUGGUAUUUGUACCUAAGUUAUUAAGUAUGUUGCAUGUAUAUAGUACCAUAUUAUUUACACAUAAGCUACUCGGGAUAUGUCUUUGCAACAAUUUUUGGCCUCGGGUUCAAACUUAUUACAUAGUUUAUACGUAUGUCUUUGAGUAUGCGGUGCAUAAAUUAUCAUGAUCUUUACGCCAAAAUUAUAGGGGGUAUGUUUUCAAUAUCAUUUUCCCCACAGGUCAAUGUUACCACGGUGUUCAUACGUAAGUUACCAGAUAUGCAUCGCGUAAAUUGUCAUACUAUUUACAUAGAAAUUACCGAGCUAUUGUUCUUCGAAUAAAAUUCCUCGGUAGAAAUUAGCACGGUGUUGCAGAUAAGUUAUUAGGUCUAUGGUGCGUAAAUUAGCAUGCUAUACACAUAAAAGUUACCAGGUAUAUUUCAAGAAUUUUGUUCCUAGGUCCAAAAAAUUAUCUGGCCUGGACUGCAUAAGUUACCGCACCUGCAGUAUGUAAAAUUACCAUGUUGUUUAUGCAGAUGUUACCGGACAUGAAACCUGAACUAUUUUCAACGUUUCAAUGGGGUUUUUUAGGUCGGAAUAUCGUCCGGUACAACCAAUCAUUACCAAUAUUGUUUACAUGUUGCUUCCAAUAAAAAAUCGUUUGAGUUGUCGGUCUACUUGUGGGUUGUUAGGACCACAAGUGUGCUCAAUUUAUGCCGUCUAGGCCCGAUUCAGGUCGAUGAGCACUGAUACAGUGGUAAACCCAAACUUAGUGCAAAAAUUUACAGAGGUGUGAUGUUCAUUUUCUACUAUAUAAGUACAGGAGAGGAGAUUGUGUAGGUCAGGGAUCCCAACUCAAACUCCCUGAAUCUUAAUGCUAGUGUUUCAGGCCUUUGUAUAGUGAUUUGUUGGAGCCUUUUGCAAUCUAUCGUCGUGCAAAUAACUGAACCUGAUUGGAAUGAUUAGUCUAUUCACCCAAGCUUCAGACAACACUGGAUUUUACAAGAGGUUGCAGCAGGGAGGUGAGCAGCAGUAGCAGCCACAAGAGGCGUUGGUGAAAAAACAGGAGCAACAAAUGUAUAUGGAUUUGGAGCCGCCUCAUUGCAGAAUAAGAGCAGCAAGGACGAUGAUCAAAUAGGAGCGUCAGUGUAAAAAAUCAAGCCGGCUCGCCGCCGUACUUCUUCUAUGUCACUACGUGCUCUGCUGUGCCCCGCAUCACAUGCAAACCCAAUCCAGAAUCAACAACAAAUCAAGCCAUCUCGCCGUCCUAGGGAGCAAAACAAGCACAACGGGGAGCUUCCAGUCCUAGGCUGCCGUUGGUGAUGAAUCCAAGGAGAUGGGAGGGAGUUCUAGUCCUGGGCGUACCUAGGCGUCGCCGUGGCCAUCAAAGAGGUGCGACGAGAGGCGGAGCGCGUCGGCGUUGAGACCCAGCCCAUCGAGGUCGCGGCGCAUGGCGAGCAGGCGCACAUAGAUGUCAGCGAAGCGCGGAACCACGGCGCAGGCGUCCUCCAUCUCCCCGCUGCGGCCGGGCGGCCGGGCUUGUGAGCGCAUCUCUUCAGGCCGGCGUGCCUUGCGGGCCAAAUCCAUGGCAAGGAAGAUUCAUGUGGUGGUGCGGGGAUGAAGACGAGCGAAGGGGAGGAAUAGCCACGCGAUGCCACAUGGUUGCCACAUACAUAUUUCGAUAACAAAAAGGCAAACGUGACCUUUGCGUGAUGGACCCCCCGGCUGAACCGUCAUUGACCUGACCUGACCGUGGACCGUCGGACGCGUCGGGAGCCAGAUCUCACUCCACCACUCGCACCCGUCCCCACACUCCCCACCGCGCAGCCCUCCCCUUCGUCGGCAGCCCAAAAACCCUCGGGGGCGAAGCGAGGAGAGGGCGGCAAUGGCGGAGGCGAGCCGCAGCCACCCGUCGCAGUACGUGAGGCUGAAGAAGGACCAGGACGCUUCCGCCUCCGGCCCCAGCGUGGAGGACAUCCGCCCUGGCGAGCUCAACCUGCCCGUCGCCGUCCCGCAGGUCGGUCUCGCCAUUCCUCGCGCGAUCCUCGUUUUCUUCCAAUUUCUGCUGCCGCAAUUGUUUGUUCGGGGAAUCGGGAUGGUCCGAUCUGAUUCUGGGCGCUGCGCCGUGUGGCUGUAUAGCUGGAGCAGAGGAAGUGCUUCGAAUGCGGGCAGGUGCUGCCUGAGAGCCACCGGUCGCCCGCCGACGAGCCGUGGACAACCGGCAUCUUCGGGUGCGCCGAAGACCCCNNNNNNNNNNNNNNNNNNNNNNNNNNNNNNNNNNNNNNNNNNNNNNNNNNNNNNNNNNNNNNNNNNNNNNNNNNNNNNNNNNNNNNNNNNNNNNNNNNNNNNNNNNNNNNNNNNNNNNNNNNNNNNNNNNNNNNNNNNNNNNNNNNNNNNNNNNNNNNNNNNNNNNNNNNNNNNNNNNNNNNNNNNNNNNNNNNNNNNNNNNNNNNNNNNNNNNNNNNNNNNNNNNNNNNNNNNNNNNNNNNNNNCUAGCCGAUCUAGUUCUGCUACUUCCUCCCGCUCUAGACGGGUCACACCUUCAAAAUUCGUGGUAGUUUUGAUGUGCUGAUAUGCCAGAGUUGGCAGGAAUUUUCAUGUGGAUCUGCACAGGAUGGGGUUGUGUUGCUGUGGUUGAGCUCAGGGUUUGUGGCUAUUACACACAUUGCACAACUCAGCAACUAGAUGUUUGUUUCCAUGGCAUUGAAGUGUUACUGAAGUGUCACCGACAGAGGUUAGGUGCUUUAGUUUUAAAUCCUUUAGCGGUCCCGCGUAUUAAGCGCACACAAGUUUUUAUUAUGAAGCCCGUACGUCAAGUGAAUCUCUCUCUAGUAAAGAAAAGAGAAACAUCUGCACAAGGAUGGCCCAUACACCUCCUAUCCUCCUUUUUUUUCAUUUAGGCUUUUAUUGUUUUCCAUUUUUUACAUGUGUUUGUUACAGACUAUUUUUCAGCACUAAAGGUGUUUCUUUCAAAAUUUCAAUUACAAAUUAUAACAAUAUUUAUAUUCUUAUAGAUCAUUGUGAAAUAUUUCCACAUUAGUUUAGUGAGCAGUUGCCUGUCAGAAAUUUGGUGUUGCCUCCUUUUUACUUGGUACCAGUUGAGACAGUUUUCAAACAGAGAUGCUUUGCAAAUCUGAAUUUUCUUCCUCUCUGUCAUUUUUUCAUUAACAACCGUGAACUUAAUCGAGGAACAAACCAUGGUAGACUAAACAUAUAGUCAAUUAAUUCUUUCUCAUGUCUAUGAGAAAGGCAUGGUUGAUAUUUUACAUUGCACAUAUAACUCAGUUGUAAACUGGAGCCAACCCGAUGCUGAUUUAUGUCUUAUACUACACAUGUAACUCAAAUUUAUAAUGUGGAGUCGAUCCGAAGCAUGUCUGCCCUACAUUUAGGAGUAUUUUACCUAGACUAGAGGGGUAGAGGUUCAUGACUGAACAGUCCAAAUUGAGUACUUCAUUUUUUUAUAGCUUGCUUAGGAGUACUUUAUUUUGAAAUAUUAAUUGUUCACAUACACUUUUUUGUAUCAUAUUGCAAGCCUUUAUGGUUUGCAAAUUUGAAGUUCUGUUAUCUUUUUGGUCUUCUAUUAUCUUUGUAAAAUUAGCCUGUGAUGAUGUGCUCAUGUGGGAAGGGAUUAGGCACUGGUCAUUGUCUGAAAGAAAUAAAGAGUAGCAGUCGUAACGUCUGGCUUCGAUUAUCAUGUUCUUAUUGUUAAAGACGACCCUUCUUUUUUCCGUAUUGGAAAAGUUCUUCAAAAUGUAGGGUGUGUUUGGUUUUGAGCCAAAGCUGGCCUUGCCAAAACAUUGGCGUGCCCAUGAGUUUUGGCUGUUGUUUGGUUGGACACCAAAUAUUUGGCUUGCCCAACCCAGCCGGCGUUUGCCCAUGCAGUUCUCGCCAGUACGCGGGCGAGCCGUGGGGUGAAUUCGUCCACCAGAAUAUUGUCUGCCAGCCUGCUAGCAUUCCCGCGUAUUAUGCUUCGGUCUUACGCGAGCCGGAAAAUUAAUUAGCUAGCUUGUAUACGCACGCCUCCUCUGAUCGUAUUGAUCAAGUCGGCUAGUACGUCUGUUUCACUCGGUCAAAAGCCUGUACAUGCUGCUUCUCUGAACUUUUCUUUACUGUUCUUUUUUCUGAAUGUUUGAUCAUCAUGAUUUAUGGGCUCCUUAUAUAAAAAUUUCAAGUUAAGACCUCAGAUGCUGAUAUGUGGCAUGUUAAUUGGCUACAAACCAAACUGAGACCCAACCAUUUUGCCAAAAAAUUGGUACGUGCUAUGGCUACAAUCCAAACAACACUACCACACCAAAAUUUUGGUCAUGCCCUUGCUUUGGCUAUGCCAAAAUUUUGGCAGGGCAAGUUGGGGCACAAACCAAACAGCCCCGUACACACUUCUACAGCUGACUGUCGGUUAUCAUUUUAGCUCUUUUAGGCUCUUUGCAAAAUCAACGUGCUGUGAGAAUGUGCUCAUAUUGAAAAGAAUUUGCAACUUCCAUUGUUUCAAAGAAGCAAAAAUUAGCAGUUGUAACGUUUACUUUUACUACAAUGCUUUUGAUCUAAAGAUGUCUUUCUUCUUGAUCUGUUUGAAAGUUCUUGUACAUGUACACUUUCCCACUAUAAGUGUUAAUUGCGAUAAACUGUUGAGCACAUAAAUGACUGCGUCGUACAUGGCCGAAACCUGAAAGCUUAAUGGAAUAGCUAAUUCUUUUUUCUUUCUUGACUUCCAUAGGUUGGAUUUUUUUUUAAAAAUCUUGUAGUGAUGGAUCUUGUAAUAUGCUCCGAGGUUCCUUAUGCCGUUCUUCUGAACUUGAACACAGAGCAGCUGAAUCUCUAAUCACAAGAGGGACCAUCUCCAGGUUUACUGAAGAGUUAAUCUAAGCACUAAAAGGAACACCAUAAAGUUUGCGGAUGUGUCUACUAAUCAUAAUUGCUUAGUCUAUUACCGACUUUCAUUCAUGGGGCCUUCUUAUUCAAAUUGUGUCAUCAUAGGGUUUGUGAUGUUUGUACCUUUAUGCUUCAGUCCGUGCAGUUUUCAUAUAUAUUACUGCUAAAUUCUGAGAUACUUCUGAACCACUUGCGUGUCUGAUCUUCUUACUUUUUUAGGCCGGACUGGUCUAUUCUGCCCCUGUGUUUUGUUUGGACGAAAUGUUCAGGCUCUUAGAGAAGAUAUCCCAUGGACAACACCCUGCACUUGCCAUGCUGUCUGUGUUGAAGGUGGCAUUGCAUUGGCAAUCCUUACGGCUAUAUUCCAUGGUGUUGACCCAGACACAUCAGUCCUGAUUGGUGAAGGCCUGGUGUUCGGUUGGUGGUUAUGCUCUAUAUAUACUGGUAAUUUUCGUCUACAGCUUCAGAGGAGGUAUCAUCUCGAGGUACUUCUUUCUCUCUUCCACUGUUUUCUUUGUAUGUGUCAUGAUAAAUCGCAUUCAGAAGAACAUCUACAAACAGUUGUAUUUAUUUCUACUAUAAGAAGUACAGAAUUGCAUUCUCCAUCUGAGAUAGUUGUAUCAGGUAUGCAGGCGUCCAGAAGCAAACUGCAUGGUUAAAGUUAUGUGUAUCCGUCCUCACUAAAAUAAAGUUCUGUAGUUUGGACGAGAGAGUUAUGUCGUCCAGCGAACUUCUGUCACUGUCAUGAAAUUUUUGCUUGGCAUUGUCCACUGGCGGUAGCUGGUUAUAUCAUUGAAUUAUCAGACCAUUUCAUCAACCCUGUAUUGCUCAUCAUUGUGAGCAUGGAGGGUCCUUGACCACCUUUUCACGUAUAGUAUCUUUUUGUGGUCACUAAUUCUAAUCAGUUGUCACGUCUAGCAUUUGAUAUGCGGGCUGGGCUUUUAGUUUCAUGCAUCAGUAUCACGGGCCUUUCGCUAACCAUCACAUAUUGUUGUGCUUCCACCAGAACUCUCCAUGCCCUCCUGGCAUAGUCCACUGCUGCUUCCCCUGGUGCGCGAACUGUCAGGAGCAUCGUGAAAGGAAAGGCCGCCUCGCAGAAAGCAGUGCUGUUCCAAUGACCAUUGUCAACCCGCCGCCGCUGCAAGAGAUGAGCAUGGUCGAGAACAACGCUCCCACAUCCGAGAAUGAAGCGUCGAAGGCCGAGCAUGAUGAUGUGGAGGUGAUACCUCUCUAGGAAAGAUAGCAUGAGAACUGAAACUGACAUGGAAUCUGCUAGCCAAUUUAGAGACUACCAUAUAUUGUUAAUAAAUCACUGUCAUCUGGCAGGUACCGUAUGAAACAUUGUUCUGAUCCAGAUUUUAGUUUACUGACCAUUACUACCUAUGAUAGAAUGUUGACCGUGGGCAUGUAAUAUAUGUGUGGAGACCAUUACUACCUAUGAUAGAGUGCUGCCCGUGGGCAUAUAAUAUAUAUGUGGAGACCAUUACUACCUAUGAUAGAAUGUUGCCCGUGGGCAUAUAAUAUAUGUG
rnacentral:lncRNA from 1 species